rnacentral:lncRNA from 1 species
AGAUGUGCCGGGCACCGAGCCUGGGCUGGAGCUCACCUGGAAACAAGGGCGCUUCGGCACCAGCCUCCCCUCCCGGAGGGCCACCAGCCGUGCCAGUGUCCCAUGUGUGGCAGGCAGGUGCAUGCUUCCCGAGGCAUUUGGUUUGUCUCUGUGCAACACCUUGUCCAGGAAGAAAAAGAAACAAAUAUUAGUUGUCCCCACAGCAAACAUCGAGUCCGUCAGGCAGUGUGGCUGGGAGCCAGAGUCCAGGCUGGGCACAGAGGACGUAUGGGGGAGUCCGCGGAGGGGCUGAUGGUGGGUGGGUGGAGCCACGCGUGACUCCCUCUCCGGCCACCCGCAGCACACACUGGGCACGGAUCGUCUUGGGGCCGGCACUCUGAGACACGGGCUGGAGGCUCCCCACGGUAACCCAGGGCCCUGCUGGCCCGCAUGCAGGCCUUUUAUCCGUGUGAACAGCAUGGCUCUCACUGGCCCCAUUCCUGUGCAUUUUGCUCCAAAUGUCUACCGCACGGGAGCCCUCCCGUGGUGGGAAUCAUCGCUGUGAGACGAAAGAAGCCCGGGUCCUGCGCCGAAGACCAGCUCGCUGCAUCACAGGAGCAAGCCUGGAACCUCGCUCCGGGCAACCCCUCCACAGACCCUCAUCCUGGCAUGACACAGCAGUGGCUCACAGUGGCUAAACCUGUAACACACAGACGAGGCCCAGAAGCCCGGGGACAUCUUGGGCUGCUAAAAAACCUUGAUAAACAGUGUCCAAGGAAAUAAGCUCCUAAGAACACUGGCACGCUUCAUACCGAUGAAAGGAGUGACCGGUUCUCCCAUCGGAGUGGGUCCAGAGUGGCUGGGAGGAUGCUGAGAAAUAAAAGGAGGAAAGAGACCCACCUACAGCCCAGGGCAGCUGGUAUCACAUCCCACAGAGGGGUCAGGACAGCGGGGCUAAAAUAAGGAACCGGCCCCAGGCUCUGCCGCCAGCCGCACCACCGGUCACACACAGAUGAUUUCCAGGGUGCGCACAUCAGGUCCAGUACCGCCUUGCCUGCGUGCUCAGGGCCCUGCCCUCUGGGUCAGCUAUCAUUGGAGAUGCCUCCGGCAGGGGAAUGUGUCCACUGCCUCAUAUUCCACGGGAUCGCUGUCAUUAGUCAGUGCUGACUGAUGUCUGCAUGCACAGGGGUCUGGAUUACAGUGUACACAGUUCAGCUACACCCUCGGCUGACCCGAAAAGGACAGCUUCACCACACAGCUGCUCCUGAACCUGACACCCGGCUUAGCUGAGGGGCUCUCGCGGUCUCAGCCCGGCUCCAUAGUGAGAGCUGAGAUUUCGCAAACCCAGCGUCUCGCCUCUGCCAGUCGCGAUGCCAGACGUGUAACACCAGGUCGGGACCCCGUGUGCCGAGCCCGCCCACAUAGACCCGCGUCUUCAGAAAGCUCGAGGGUGAUGAGACUGCGACACGAUGGUGGGGCUUGGUUCCUUCAGCACAUUUUUGGCUGGCAGGUAGCCACUUGCCCGUUCUGAUCCGGAAGUAUCCAUUAAAAGCCAGGAGCUGAGCUGUCUGAGUUGGAGUGUGCUUCCAGUUUUUGGCUCUCCACCAUGUGAGAGUCUGUGGAGCCCUGACUGCCACCGCGUGUGAACACCUAUGACCAGGGACGGCGGCCGCGAGUCAGUGCUGGCCGACUGGGGGAUCCCGUGCACAGAAGAGGAAAAGGGCAUCCAGAGGCAGAUGUUGGUGGCUGCAGAGUGGGGACACCCAGAGAUCUCAGAGUGACAGCCACUGGGCAGUUACCAACCCCCCAAACCUACAGACACCCUUAGGAUGGCGCCCAGGGCCUUUGCACAGAGCUACAUCCUCCUCGGCCCUUUCUAUGCUGAGGCAGUGUCUGUCCAUCAUGACGCUGCCCAGGUUUGGAUCCUAGGCUCGGACUUGUCUUCCUCCCCCAAACUCCCAGAGAGCUGGACUUGCAAGUACCCACCAUCACACCUGCUGCAUGAAAGUCUUUAACUGUGGUGGAGGAAGGUGCUGGUGACCGAGGGCCUCGCCAAGCCCUGUGAAAGGUUUCGCCCUGUUCAUCCACGACGCACCCUCCAGAGUGCUUGCAGCAGCCCCGCAGUCUCAGUGACCUUGUUUCCUCUGAGUGCUCAGCAUGACUGCAGGGCACAAGGGCUGCACAAGGUGCCCCCGAGGGCACCAGCACAGGAUGGGACCAGGGACAGAGAGCCGAGGCAGUGCUGGCUCAGUGGGGGAGGGGAGUACACCCAGGAAAUGGCUUGAACCCAGACCAGAAGCUAAGGGGGAGCCGCAGGAGAGAGGGUGCUCCAGGGAGCCCGGUGGCACCCACUCUGAUCUCCCCCAAGCUCGGGAUGUGAGGACCCUGAGCAGCUGUACCUAUCCCCGGCCCCUCCUCAGGGAAGCGAGCUGAGCCCUCUGGGGCUGCAGACCUUGCAGGCGCACAUUCCCUUGCCCCACAGCAGGCUCAUGGCCACCACCGGCCAACUCUGCAGCAAGGGCAGAUUCUCAUUUGCUGAGGUGCAACACAGAGCAGCUCGGCCACUCACGAGGUGUCCGGUGGAUCCCUAGUGCUCACACAGUCCAGCGAUUCUCAGUACUUACUCACAGGAGCGGAAAACUUGUGACCGUACAAAAGCCUGUACAUAAAUGUUCAUAACAACUCUAUUCUCAACUGGAAAAGCUAAAGAAGUGCAUGUUGCCUUUCAUUGGUGAAUGGAUAAACUGAGGGACAUCCAUAGGGUGAAAUACUACUCAGCAAUAACAAAGGAAUGGGAACAAAUCAAAGAGCUGUUGAGAUACAGAGGAAAUUGAGCGGGUGUUACUGAGAGAAGCCCUUCUGAAAAGACUGCAGCCUGUGUGAUUCCAAUAAUGUGACUUUCCAGAAAAGGGAAAGAGUGAAAGAUUAGUGGUUGCCAGGAGAUGAGAGGGACAUCUCCGGAGGGCAUGCAGUGUGGACACAUGUGGCUGCGAAUCUGUCAAAAUCCACAGAAUGUAGAGCACAGAGGACCUCAGAUGAGCACGGCCAUGACCCAUCCGUGAGGGCUCAUCAGUUAUGACAAGGAGCUGGACAAAGCCAAGAUGUUAGCUGGGCCUCUGUGCUGGAUGUGUCAGCUUCACUGGGCUCAGAAUGCCAGGAUGGCUGGUAAAACAGUUGCUGGAAUGAGUGGAUGAAAGACAUUGUAACAAUAGAUAAAGAAGGUCGGUCCUCACCAACACAGGGCAAAUCAGUCAGUCCUUCGAGUCCCACAUAGAACACUAUGGUGGAGAGGAAGAAACUUUGGCUCCGUCCUCCUGAGCUGGGACAGCACCUUCUGCUCCCCUUUGGCAUCAUAGCUCCGAGUCAGGGCCUUUGGUUCUGGGACUUCACCCGAUGCCCUCCCUGCAGGGCCUGGUGAAGGAGUGCUGCUACAUCACGGUGGCCAGGAAGUAGUGAGAGGGGAGGAGCCGGAGCAGAGACAGGAGGGUGACCCCCUCUUCUGCCAGCCUCCAUACCCAACACCAAGCCAGCAACAGCAUCCCAGUAAUGCAGAUGCCUUCCAUAGCCGUGCCUCUGAGCUCAUGAGGCUUCAGGGAUACAUCCAGACAGAGACCGUAG